AUUGAACGCUGGCGGCAUGCUCUACACAUGCAAGUCGAACGGUAACAGGUUAAGCUGACGAGUGGCGAACGGGUGAGUAAUGCAUCGGAACGUGCCCGAUCGUGGGGGAUAACGCAGCGAAAGCUGCGCUAAUACCGCAUACGAUCUGAGGAUGAAAGCGGGGGACCGUAAGGCCUCGCGCGAUCGGAGCGGCCGAUGUCAGAUUAGGUAGUUGGUGGGGUAAAGGCCCACCAAGCCGACGAUCUGUAGCUGGUCUGAGAGGACGACCAGCCACACUGGGACUGAGACACGGCCCAGACUCCUACGGGAGGCAGCAGUGGUGAAUUUUGGACAAUGGGCGAUAGCCUGAUCCAGCAAUGCCGCUUGCAGGAAGAAGGCCUUGGGGUUGUAAACUGCUUUUGUACGGAGCGAAAAGGUCCUUUCUAAUACAAGGGGCUCAUGACGGUACCGUAAGAAUAAGCACCGGCUAACUACGUGCCAGCCGCCGCCGUAAAAC
rnacentral:rRNA from 1 species